AUGUUGAAUAGAACCCAAUAUCACCCUUGGCUGAUUCUUUCACUGAACUGUUCAUACCACUUAGUGUGUUCUUUGUAUGCGAAUUUUGAGUCAGGUAUAUUUUUCUUUCACUCUGAUCGUGACUAUGUUAUAUUGUAUUCAGACAGUAUCUGCUAUAGAGGCAUAUUUCAUGUUGUUGUGCCUCACUCUGCUGGACCGGGAGGAUGUUGUUUUCCUGUUUUUUACAUUUGUGGCAACCCUGCAUUACCAAGUCUAUUGGCUCCGCUUCUGCAGAAGCAGCAGCACACUUCUGGUCACUGUGUCACACUUGGGUUACUGUCACACUUCUACAGCAGCAGCACUUCCGGUCACUGUGUCACACUUUGGUUACUGUCACACCUCUACAGCAGCAGCAGCACUUCCGGUCACUGUGUCACACUUGGGUUACUGUCACACUUCUACAGCAGCACUUCCGGUCACUGUGUCACACUUUGGUUACUGUCACACCUCUACAGCAGCACUUCCAAUUGCUGUGUCACACUUUGGUUACUGUCACAAUAUUUCACCCUUUUCCAUUAUUAUUCUAUCUGCUAUGGUGAUCCGUGA
rnacentral:lncRNA from 13 species